AUUGAACGCUGGCGGCAUGCCUUACACAUGCAAGUCGAACGGUAACAGGUCUUCGGAUGCUGACGAGUGGCGAACGGGUGAGUAAUACAUCGGAACGUGCCCGAUCGUGGGGGAUAACGAAGCGAAAGCUUUGCUAAUACCGCAUACGAUCUACGGAUGAAAGCAGGGGACCGCAAGGCAUCGCGCGAACGGAGCGGCCGAUGGCAGAUUAGGUAGUUGGUGGGAUAAAAGCUUACCAAGCCGACGAUCUGUAGCUGGUCUGAGAGGACGACCAGCCACACUGGGACUGAGACACGGCCCAGACUCCUACGGGAGGCAGCAGUGGGGAAUUUUGGACAAUGGGCGAAAGCCUGAUCCAGCCAUGCCGCGUGCAGGAUGAAGGCCUUCGGGUUGUAAACUGCUUUUGUACGGAACGAAAAGACUCUGGUUAAUACCUGGGGUCCAUGACGGUACCGUAAGAAUAAGCACCGGCUAACUACGUG
rnacentral:rRNA from 1 species